GACGAACGCUGGCGGCGUGCUUAACACAUGCAAGUCGAACGAUGAACCAGGAGCUUGCUCUUGGGGAUUAGUGGCGAACGGGUGAGUAACACGUGAGCAAUGUGCCCUUGACUCUGGAAUAAGCGCUGGAAACGGCGUCUAAUACCGGAUACGACCAUCGGAGGCAUCUCCUGUUGGUGGAAAGAACUUCGGUCAAGGAUCAGCUCACGGCCUAUCAGCUUGUUGGUGAGGUAACAGCUCACCAAGGCGACGACGGGUAGCCGGCCUGAGAGGGUGACCGGCCACACUGGGACUGAGACACGGCCCAGACUCCUACGGGAGGCAGCAGUGGGGAAUAUUGCACAAUGGGCGCAAGCCUGAUGCAGCAACGCCGCGUGAGGGACGACGGCCUUCGGGUUGUAAACCUCUUUUAGCAGGGAAGAAGCGAAAGUGACGGUACCUGCAGAAAAAGCACCGGCUAACUACGUGCCAGCCGCCGCCGUAAAAC
rnacentral:rRNA from 1 species